UGUAGGCUAUUUCUUCUUAUUUUUAAAACACAUGUAUUCAAGAGGGCUGCUGCAUUGCUUUUACAGUUACAAAGAUAUCCAACUGAAAUGACGGACUUUCUCACUUUUCCCGCACUGCUCUGGAGUGUCCUGUUGCUAGUGCUCAGCGGCAUCAUCACACCCGCAUGCACAGAUGAUGGUCACCCAGGCCCAAGGUGUGUUCCUGGUAUACCGGUCUAGAUGGCUGUAACGGGACCAGAGGGGACUCUGGUUUCCCUGGAAUCCAUGGUCUGGAUGGGCCUGAUGGGGGAGCGGGUUUCUCAGGGAUCAAAGGAGUACCAGGGGACGACACCGUUCAGUUCAUCCAGUACCCUGGUAUACCUGUAGGGUGAUGUCGGCCGUGCUGGGGUUACUGGACUGCCUGUGAGUAAGAUGGUUGUUGGACGGUUGUUGGAUGGGUUCCCUACAGCCUGUCAUUUCACAACAUACACUACUUCAAAAUGGCCCCCUUACCAGCAUGUGCCUACCUCAGCUGCUGUGACAUAUUCAAUGUGUCAACAUAGUUACUACUGCCUUACUAUUUCCUGGUCACCAGAUCUGUAUGCGAUUUAGCCAUCUUCACUAACUGUCCUUGUCAUGCCAACAAUGUACGUAAGAAGAGCAGCCAGGUUUACAUAUAACCAGUGCUUAAAGGAUCCGCCUCUUUUUUUAAAUGUAAAUAGUUCUUUCAGUAUUGCCACAAUAUUCCCAUACAUCUUAUUACCUGUCCUGUCUGGCAGUAGCAGGCUGUGUAGUAAAAUUAAAUGUAUUUGGCCGCAUUACACAAAACAUUUUUGGCAACAUUUUGUCCUGAUCAAUGCCGUUUGCAAUAACAAAAUAUUCAAACCGUUCUGUAUGAGCGCCAUUGCUCAACACUUUCAUCAAACUGUCCAAUAUUUCUAACAAUUCCAGACAUUUUUUGUUUCUCAUUUGGCUCCUGUUUGUUACUCAACUCAUACUUGUCCAUGGCAAUGUUCUGUUCAGCCGUAAUAAUAUUUUCUUCAGUCAAGUGAUCUUCAUUCACUUCACUCACUGAUGUUUUAUCCUGAAAUGCACUGAUUUAGCAGCUUUUAAUUCAAAAGUUUUUCUUCAAACUUGUCCUUUCCUUUACUCACUGACGUCCGUCUCAAAUCCCUUUCUGCCAUCCAUGACGAUGCUAAUUCUAUUAGCUAGCUCGACUAUGCGCUUGCCUCUACCAGCAAUACACUGCUAGCAAUUAGACUGUCCCACGAAAAAUAUUUGUUUUUAUACCCCUUUUUUAUGGUAUCCAAUUGGUAGGAAACACCAUACUGAGUCAGAGUCUGGACUCAAACCAGACUCUCUAGUGGCAUAGCUAGCACUGCGAUACAGUGCCUUAGACCACUGCGCCAAUAAGGAUCCCGGAAAAUAGCAGUUUUAAACUUGUAAAAAAAUGCCUUUUUCCAAACAGAAAAGUUCACGUAGGUUCAGACUUACUCGUCGCCAAUCUGUUAUUAUGUCUCGUGGGUUUCAUAACCACGUCUUUAUAACAAUUCAAUAAUGAUCAGACGGGAGACAGGAAUCAGUUAAACCAUUUAUCUACAAUGUGCUCGGUCUCAACACAUACAACCCCCAUGAUGCGCUGCGGCACAAACCCAAUGAACAACACUGGCAGAAAAAUGUCUUGUUAUAAGAACAAUGUGUGUUAUAAGGAGGCAACUAUUUAUGCAUUACUCAGUUUACUAAAUAAUUGCCUCCUUAUAACAGAAAUGAAAUCAUUGCCAGAUUAUUGUGAAGUUUACAGUAGUUUCUGCACAGAUAUUUGCUAUUUUGUCAUGGACCAGGCUAUACAUUGAUGUUACUAACCUCUUUAGUCAGAAACUCUUAGGUGCAUCCAAAUGGUUUGAUAUGGUAGCACCUACACAGAGCUCUGUUCCAGACAGACAUACAGACAGAGAGAGAGCUCAGGUCUUGGUCAGUCCCACAUCCCACAGGCCACAGCCCCUGUUGUUUUAGUCUUCCUAUUCAGCCCUUUGUGCUGCUACUCUGUUGUUUCAGAGUGCCCCCCUAUUCAGACCAAAGCCCCCAGAGCUCCACCAUUGUCGCUCCCCGGGGGCUUUAGAUGGGCAGCUCGUAUCCCGACCCGUUUGUCUUCCGAGUGGUUUCACACCACGAGCAAAAUGAGAGAGAGCCACAGGCAUGCUGAGCCGCCAGGAAGUCACCCAUCGGUGGGGGAUGGUGGAGUGAAGCGGGGGGAAAACGGGCGGUCAGAGGGUGCUGUUCCCGGCACUGCAGACAAUCCGUUGCAUGGGGACCCCCACCAACCCCUUCACCCCCUACAUUAGUCCUCAGGGAUUAUGGUGGUAUUGGCUUAAAUCCCGGUCACACACACAAGAGAGGUGCUCAGGAACUCUGGGACAAAACUGUUGUGGUAUGUGGCCUCUUCUCAGCUCAUUCUCGUUUCUGCUUAGUUGGGUACUCCUUAAGCAUGCAUGAGGCCUAACACAGGUAGCAUAGCGGUUAGAGAAGGAGGGUUGCUGGUUUAAAUCUGAUGAUGUGUGACCUGGCAACUGGAGAGUUGCUUGCAUCAUCCUAGACACCUUUGCUUGCUGUUGUUUCCUUGUGCAAGGCACUUAACCCCCUACAAUUGCUCUGGUGGCAGUGAACUGCAGCUGACCCACUGCUUCCAACCCCUCAGGGUAUAUUUGUGUGUGUGUCUUUGUGGGCUUGGGUUGUGAACAUAAAAUACAAAUGUCCAUUCUCUGUAAGUUAAUAGACUAUCAAGUUUUCUUCUAACCCAGUGGGUGUAAAGGACUGCUUGGUGAGUACCACUUCCUCCCGUUUCGGCACAUACCUGGCUCAAACCCUGGACCUCUGCUUCACAAACAUACCUGACCGUCCUGCCUCAAGCAUCUCUACCAGUCACACUUCUCAAAAGCUAGCAAUUGAAUGGUGCAAACGUGGAUACUUAAGGCUGAGGAGUAAGUUUCACACAUCUCCAUGUGCCACAUAUCUGGGCAAACUGAAAUGAUGCCAUCAUUUCAACCAGUUUUGCCCGCUGGGAAUCACCCUCUGAGAACAGAGUCAAUCCCUUGUUGCCGAUCACUGCUUUACUGACCUGGGGUGAGUUUCCCGAAAACCUUGUAGCGAUUGUGAUCAUCGCUAUUUCUCUGGACGACCCAUACCAGUUCCACUAGCAGAAUAAGCAACAUUUGAUGAAUUGUGUUCAUCGCAGAAGAUUUACAAUCAAAUAUCCUUUUUAUAGUUAUCCCUCUCUCACUGCUGUGUGGUUGGUUUGUCAAGAGAAACAAUGUUAUGAGUUCACUACAAGGCUUCUGGGAAACUCAUUCCUGCUCUACCCUUUGACCAUAAUGUAACAAAUUCGGGGGGGUUGCCCCAACAGGGACUCGAACCAGCAACUAUCAACCUUAGCUGAUAAGCCAACAGUUUCAAAUCUCUUGACUAGGUCACUAGGUGUUGGAUUAAGGUUGCUACAAUAACAACAGCACAUUGUCGCAUUAGAAAAGGCCAGUGGGUCUGUCUUCCAUCCUGCUCUCUCAGUAGGGAGGCUUGCUGCUUGCCUGCCUUCUUGAAGAAGGCAGUGAUUUAACAGAAGAAGAAGAAUUGCCGUUUUGAAACUAUAGAGUCAGGGAACCAUGCGCUCACACUACAGCUGGUCUUAAGUGUGACAGUGAGUAGCUGUUCUGUUUGAUUAGCUCAGAUAAGCAUUAGUGGACAGCACCGGGAGAUAUAGGACGGUUCGAUCACUCUCUCAGAUGAAUAGAGCCAUAGAAAUUCAAUGACUAGAUUAUAUGUCUAUGCAUAGAGCUCCCCGGUGAGACUACAUAGACCCAAGCUCUGUGUGUGGACCAGAGGGCUGUCUACUGCCACCAUGAGGGGGACAGGGCCAUCCCAGAUCAGGCAUGCCCUGCGGAGACAGAGACAAAGCAAGGUGUUGUAGUGAAUAUUUUCUAUUCAUCGAGGCUCACGACUUGGACCUGGUUCAAGUAUGCAAGCUUGCCACCGUGAAUGCUUCGAUGCCGCCUGAUUAGAAUUAAAUAGGGUCAGGUUCAGGUAUGUGAGAGACAAGAACAGGACAUGAGAAAAGUGUUAGCCAGAACCAGUAUGUGCUUGCAGAGGUGAGAGGUUGAAAGUGGGUGAGAGAAGGGGGAGAGGUGAAGGAAGGGGUGAGAGAGGUUGAUGGGUAACAUAGUAAGCACUGAGGUUGAGGAAGUUGACUCUUACAGAGGUGAGGCGGGGGUGGGGAGAGAUCUGGAGAUGUGUCUGAAAACGACAGACCAGCUGUCACCAGCAUGCUGGCUUGCCCAUCUGUGAACACUGACAUGCAGCGUAUCUCCUUGUUUUGAAUCCGUUGCAUUUUCUACAGUCUUUGAUGUUCCGCCACCAUGGGUUUGAAAAGUGUUUUCUGUUCUCUGGUAUUCUUGGAGAAUACCGUGUUUUCUAAUCUUGUCCAUCUCUUGAGAGUGCCACAGUCCCCCUCAGGAGACUGAAAAGAUUUGGCAUGGGUCCUCAGAUCCUCAAAAGGUUCUAUAGCUAUAGGUUCUAUUCAUUGAGAGUUGCAUCAUUGCCUGGAAUGGCAACUGCAAGGCACUACAGAGGGUAAUGGAUGGCUGCUAGCGUUGGCCGGCUCGUGUGUGGGUGUGUUUGUGUAAAGGUUUGUGUAAAGGUUUGUGUGGUCAGAUUACUGAGCCUGUUAAAGCCUAUAGGCAAAACACUGAUUCACUUAUUGUGAUUUUUUAGACAGGAGGGAAUUAAUGAAACAUUAUUCUUAUCUGUAGACUACUGAGUGACGGUGUUAAAGCCUACGUCCUAAAUGGCACCCUAUUCCCUAUAUAGUGCACACAUUUUGACCUGGAAACAUAGACCAAGGCCCGUAACAAUAUGUUAUUUGAUUAUGACUAUGAUGUUAUAAAGUGUCCAUGACCACUCACGGUCCUUUUGUACUCUUUUCACUGGUAACUAGUGUUAAUCUUUGUGACAGAACAGAGUCAUUUAGGUCUUCAAGCUGUCUUUGUCUCUAUUCCUCUGUGCAUCCUUCAUUCUCUCUCUUUCUCUCUCUCUCUCUCUCUUUCUUUCUCUCUCUCUGUCCCCUCUCCUUUUUCCACUUUGCUGUUCUUUCUUUCAUUACAGAUACAUUUUUUUCUUCCUGUCACCUCUGCCUAUAUCUCUGCUGUCUUUCCUCCUCUCUUUUCCCUCUGCACCUACUCUCCCUCUCUCCUGCAUGCCCCAGGUGUGUGCAGGUCUCUGUCUGAUGAUGUGUUAUCAGGGGACUGUGGAGCCGUCACACAGGGCCCAAGAUCCUGCGAUAACAACAUUAAAUUCACACACGGUCAGAUGCACACGCACGCACACACCCCCCUACUUGCACUGUUUUUUGACACCAAGCCUCAUUUCUAUUAUUCAUCUCUGCUAUUAUCAUAUUAUUUACGUGAUUAGUAUAAAAAUGUAAAACCUCUCCACUGUACAUUCUUUUGUUGAUCUAGUUUUUAAGUAUGCCAAGUGUUUAUGUCUGGAUGUGUUUAAGUGUGUGUGUGUGUGUGUGUGUGUGUGUGUGUGUGUGUGUGUGUGUGUGUGUGUGUGUGUGUGUGUGUGUGUGUGUGUGUGUGUGUGUGUGUGUGUGGGAGAAAGAGACUUUGUGUGUGUACAAUAUAUAGGACUCUGUCUGUCUCAUUGUCUCCCUCCCAGUGGAAGACUUACCAUUAGGCAGAAGAGGCAAUUGCCUCUGGCCUCACAUCAUCAAGUGGCCUCAUGAACUGUGCUUAAUAAAAUAUAU